AUUGAACGCUGGCGGAAUGCUUUACACAUGCAAGUCGAACGGCAGCACGGGAGCUUGCUCCUGGUGGCGAGUGGCGAACGGGUGAGUAAUAUAUCGGAACGUAUCCAAUAAUGGGGGAUAACUAGUCGAAAGAUUAGCUAAUACCGCAUACGCCCUGAGGGGGAAAGCUGGGGAUCUUCGGACCUAGCGUUAAUGGAGCGGCCGAUAUCUGAUUAGCUAGUAGGGGAGGUAAAAGCUCACCUAGGCGACGAUCAGUAGCGGGUCUGAGAGGACGACCAGCCACACUGGAACUGAGACACGGUCCAGACUCCUACGGGAGGCAGCAGUGGGGAAUUUUGGACAAUGGGCGCAAGCCUGAUCCAGCCAUUCCGCGUGAGUGAAGAAGGCCUUCGGGUUGUAAAGCUCUUUCGCAAGGGAAGAAAACUUAACCUCUAACAUAGGUUGAGGCUGACGGUACCUUGAUAAGAAGCACCGGCUAACUACGUGCCAGCCGCCGCCGUAAAAC
rnacentral:rRNA from 1 species